GUGCCAGCAGCCGCGGUAAUACGAAGGUCCCAAGCGUUGUUCGGAAUCACUGGGCGUAAAGGGAGCGUAGGCGGCGUGGUAAGUCAGAUGUGAAAUCCCGGGGCUCAACCCCGGAACUGCAUCCGAUACUGCCAUGCUAGAGGAUUGGAGAGGUAGCUGGAAUUCUUGGUGUAGCAGUGAAAUGCGUAGAGAUCAAGAGGAACACUCGUGGCGAAAGCGAGCUACUGGACAAUUCCUGACGCUGAGGCUCGAAGGCUAGGGUAGCGAAAGGGAUUAGAUACCCCCGUAGUCC
rnacentral:rRNA from 1 species